AUGAACGCUGGCGGCGUGCCUAAUACCUGCCAGUCGAGCGCACAGACGAGGAGCUUGCUCCUUCGACGUUAGCGGCGGACGGGUGAGUAACACGUAGGUAACCUACCUAUAAGACUGGGAUAACUUCGGGAAACCGGAGCUAAUACCGGAUAAUAUUUCGAACCGCAUGGUUCGAUAGUGAAAGAUGGCUUUGCUAUCACUUAUAGAUGGACCUGCGCCGUAUUAGCUAGUUGGUAAGGUAACGGCUUACCAAGGCAACGAUACGUAGCCGACCUGAGAGGGUGAUCGGCCACACUGGAACUGAGACACGGUCCAGACUCCUACGGGAGGCAGCAGUAGGGAAUCUUCCGCAAUGGGCGAAAGCCUGACGGAGCAACGCCGCGUGAGUGAUGAAGGUCUUCGGAUCGUAAAACUCUGUUAUUAGGGAAGAACAAACGUGUAAGUAACUGUGCACGUCUUGACGGUACCUAAUCAGAAAGCCACGGCUAACUACGUG
rnacentral:rRNA from 1 species